AACACUUGGUCACCUGGCGACUUCUUCGUUCUUUGUUUAAUAGCAAGUCGAAGACCAAAAAGACCUUCAGCUGCUUUGUAAGUAGCAAGCUGAUCUACUAUCUUCUCUUGCAAAUCGUCAUCCGAGUUCAACUUGAUAACAACCUGAUGGAAUCUUGUCCCACAGUUCUUUAGCCAAUGAAUUAUUCUCUUGCUGCUCAUAAAAGAGUGAUGAGUUUAGAAU
rnacentral:lncRNA from 1 species